rnacentral:rRNA from 1 species
GACGGAGGGUGCAAGCGUUGCUCGGAAUCACUGGGCGUAAAGGGUGCGUAGGCGGCUUGGUAGGUCUGGUGUGAAAGCCCCGGGCUCAGCCCGGGAAGGGCACUAGAAACUGCCAAGCUAGAGUGCCGGAGGGGAGAGUGGAAUUCCUGGUGUAGCGGUGAAAUGCGUAGAGAAUCAGGAGGAAUACCGGUGGCGAAAGCGACUCUCUGGACGGCAACUGACGCUGAGGCACGAAAGCGUGGGGAGCAAACAGG